rnacentral:rRNA from 1 species
GGGCUCACACAAGCGGUGGAGGAUGUGGCUUAAUUCGAGGCUACGCGAAGAACCUUAUCCUAGAUUUGACAUGCUUGAGAAUCCCUAUGAAAAUAGAGAGUGCCCUUCGGGGAGCUCUUGCACAGGUGCUGCAUGGCUGUCGUCAGCUCGUGUCGUGAGAUGUCGGGUUAAGUCCCUUAACGAGCGAAACCCUUAUCUCUAGUUGCCAGCGGGUAAUGCCGGGGACUCUAGAGAGACUGCCGGUGUCAAAACCGGAGGAAGGUGGGAUGACGUCAAGUCUCAUGGCCUUUAUGUCUAGGGGCUGGCACACGUCCUACAAUGGUACGGACAAACGGACGCAAUACGCGAGGUGGAGCA